UGGGGUUUUUAGAGAAAGGGUUUAACCUUGCUCUUGCAGACAUGGCGCUGCUGCAACAUACGAUAGGAUUAUUCGUUAAUCCUCUCAAAGACAACAUUUUCAACCACAACUUCCCUUGUUAUUCCUUUGCUAAUUCCACUCUGUUCAAUCAGAAACCAAGGAAAACUCCUCAUGCGCUGCUUUCCUUGAGGAUGGAGAGGUUUACUCGUCCAUCAUCAAAGUUUCUGAAAUCUCCUGCCCAGGCUAGUGGUUAUAGAUUAAGCAAAUUAAGAGCUUCUAGAGUAGCUGAAGAACUCGAGCCUGAUGAAGAGGAGAAGAGGGGAGGAAACGCAUCUAGUGAGAGUGAUGGGGAGGAUGAUGAGCCUUUUAUGGACGAGGAAGAGAGGGAAGAGUGGAGGAGAAAGAUUAGAGAAGUGGUUAAUAUGAACCCAGAGGUCAAAAGGGAGGUAGACCCCGUCGAGAGGAGGAAAAAGAUCCAAAAGCUUUUGGAUGAUUACCCACUUGUUGUGGAGGAAGAGGACCCUGAUUGGCCUGAAGAUGCUGAUGGCCAUGGAUUCAACUUUGAUCAAUUCUUCGACAAGAUUAGUAUUAAGAAUGUCAAGAAGGAUGAUGAUGAGAAUGAUGAUAGUGAAAAUGAAAUUGUAUGGAGAGAUGAUGAUUACAUUCGUCCAAUCAAAGACAUUACCGCCAAAGAAUGGGAGGAGACUGUGUUCAAGGACAUCAGUCCACUGAUUAUCCUUGUGCAUAACCGUUAUAGAAGACCAAAGGAAAACGAAACGGUGCGGGAUGAAUUGGAGAAAGCUGUACACAUCAUAUGGAACUGCCACCUACCAUCGCCACGAUGUGUUGCAAUAGAUGCGGUUGUGGAGCUUGAUUUGGUCUCUGCUCUACAUGUCUCUAUAUUCCCAGAACUUAUAUUCACUAAAGCUGGAAAGAUCUUGUACCGGGAGAAAGCACUUCGUACAGCAGACGAGUUGUCAAAAAUAAUGGCUUUCUUCUAUUACGGAGCAGCCAAGCCACCUUGUUUGAAUACCAUUGAGAAGAGUGAAGAACUUAUCCCUACUGUUUAAGUCAACAGCGAGCAGUAUUAGAGCUGAAAAGUUUUACAUAUCUGCAUAUACCUACGAACAAUGGAUCAGUAAUGAGAGUUUCUGGGUAAGCAAUAUCUUUUUUUUUUGAAAGGCAAUUUUUUUUAAUUAAUCUCUGAAAUGAAAUGGGUAAACGAUGUUUUCUUUACGGUGAUGUUGCUCCUCCGCAGGUCAAUUGAUGUUUGAAAUUUCAUCUUACAUGUAAGAAAUCCCUUAUUGUGAAGACCGGAACAGUGGAAACCAUUAUGGUAGUGGAAGUGGAAGGCAAAUAGCUGGUUAGGGUUGAAGCCAUCAAACUAGCAAUUGGCAAUGCCACUGUUUUCUUCUUCUACUUUCCUUUUGAGAACAGAGAGGCAUUUUCCGGUACUGUGGGUGACCCGAAAUCGGAAGCUACGGUUAGUCAACCUUUUGGUUGGUUUGAUGGAUUUCCAGUGUGCCUCUGCUUAACUUUCCGGGGUGCUCAUUGACCGAAGACUUCUCCAUGCUUAACAACAGUGAGGUAGUCUUGUCCUCCUGAGCAGUUGUCCAUUUAGUUGCUGAAUCUGUGCUUCCAUUAAAAAAAUGGUAUUUCAAGCUCUUCAGCUUAGUUUUAUCUGCUGAAUGCAAUUCAGCUGAGGGGUUUUUUUUUUGUUUUUGCAAAAUCCAUGUGGUUUUUGUUUUUCUCAUUGUUGUAGUUCCGUUGAUUGUCAUUUUGCCUUCUUUUUUUUCCUUGUUCACGGAAACAAGAGCAAUGAGAAGUGUCGAAGCUACCAUCAUCUCCUUUUUGUGCGAAAGCAAAUUUCCAAACUUUUGAGAA